AGGCGACGACGGGUAGCCGGCCUGAGAGGGUGAUCGGCCACAUUGGGACUGAGAUACGGCCCAGACUCCUACGGGAGGCAGCAGUGGGGAAUAUUGCACAAUGGGCGGAAGCCUGAUGCAGCGACGCCGCGUGGGGGAUGACGGCCUUCGGGUUGUAAACUCCUUUCGCUAGGGACGAAGCUUUUUGUGACGGUACCUAGAUAAGAAGCACCGGCUAACUACGUGCCAGCAGCCGCGGUAAUACGUAGGGCGCAAGCGUUGUCCGGAAUUAUUGGGCGUAAAGAGCUCGUAGGCGGCUUGUCGCGUCGGUUGUGAAAGCCCGGGGCUUAACCCCGGGUCUGCAGUCGAUACGGGCAGGCUAGAGUUCGGUAGGGGAGAUCGGAAUUCCUGGUGUAGCGGUGAAAUGCGCAGAUAUCAGGAGGAACACCGGUGGCGAAGGCGGAUCUCUGGGCCGAUACUGACGCUGAGGAGCGAAAGCGUGGGGAGCGAACAGGAUUAGAUACCCUGGUAGUCCACGCCGUAAACGGUGGGCACUAGGUGUGGGCAACAUUCCACGUUGUCCGUGCCGCAGCUAACGCAUUAAGUGCCCCGCCUGGGGAGUACGGCCGCAAGGCUAAAACUCAAGGAAUUGACGGGGGCCCGCACAAGCGGCGGAGCAUGUGGCUUAUUCGACGCAACGCGAAGAACCUUACCAAGGCUUGACAUACACCGGAAAGCAUCAGAGAUGGUGCCCCCCUUGUGGUCGGUGUACAGGUGGUGCAUGGCUGUCGUCAGCUCGUGUCGUGAGAUGUUGGGUUAAGUCCCGCAACGAGCSCAACCCUUGUCCCGUGUUGCCAGCAACUCUUCGGAGGUUGGGGACUC
rnacentral:rRNA from 1 species